rnacentral:ncRNA from 1 species
UAAAAGUAGAGGCGCGUAUUGUCAAGAGUACCGAGGCCGCAGCGAGGGGACCAGCAAUCCCCGGCCGAAGGAAAGGGGCAUACGCCGAAGGCGGAUGAGGCGUAAAUCCGGCCUGGGCAUAUGCAGAAGAUGCAUAUGACUGUCGCAUCUUUUGCGGAGAGCU